UCAGACGAACGCUGGCGGCGUGCCUAAUACAUGCAAGUCGAACGAACUCUGGUAUUGAUUGGUGCUUGCAUCAUGAUUUACAUUUGAGUGAGUGGCGAACUGGUGAGUAACACGUGGGAAACCUGCCCAGAAGCGGGGGAUAACACCUGGAAACAGAUGCUAAUACCGCAUAACAACUUGGACCGCAUGGUCCGAGUUUGAAAGAUGGCUUCGGCUAUCACUUUUGGAUGGUCCCGCGGCGUAUUAGCUAGAUGGUGGGGUAACGGCUCACCAUGGCAAUGAUACGUAGCCGACCUGAGAGGGUAAUCGGCCACAUUGGGACUGAGACACGGCCCAAACUCCUACGGGAGGCAGCAGUAGGGAAUCUUCCACAAUGGACGAAAGUCUGAUGGAGCAACGCCGCGUGAGUGAAGAAGGGUUUCGGCUCGUAAAACUCUGUUGUUAAAGAAGAACAUAUCUGAGAGUAACUGUUCAGGUAUUGACGGUAUUUAACCAGAAAGCCACGGCUAACUACGUGCCAGCAGCCGCGGUAAUACGUAGGUGGCAAGCGUUGUCCGGAUUUAUUGGGCGUAAAGCGAGCGCAGGCGGUUUUUUAAGUCUGAUGUGAAAGCCUUCGGCUCAACCGAAGAAGUGCAUCGGAAACUGGGAAACUUGAGUGCAGAAGAGGACAGUGGAACUCCAUGUGUAGCGGUGAAAUGCGUAGAUAUAUGGAAGAACACCAGUGGCGAAGGCGGCUGUCUGGUCUGUAACUGACGCUGAGGCUCGAAAGUAUGGGUAGCAAACAGGAUUAGAUACCCUGGUAGUCCAUACCGUAAACGAUGAAUGCUAAGUGUUGGAGGGUUUCCGCCCUUCAGUGCUGCAGCUAACGCAUUAAGCAUUCCGCCUGGGGAGUACGGCCGCAAGGCUGAAACUCAAAGGAAUUGACGGGGGCCCGCACAAGCGGUGGAGCAUGUGGUUUAAUUCGAAGCUACGCGAAGAACCUUACCAGGUCUUGACAUACUAUGCAAAUCUAAGAGAUUAGACGUUCCCUUCGGGGACAUGGAUACAGGUGGUGCAUGGUUGUCGUCAGCUCGUGUCGUGAGAUGUUGGGUUAAGUCCCGCAACGAGCGCAACCCUUAUUAUCAGUUGCCAGCAUUAAGUUGGGCACUCUGGUGAGACUGCCGGUGACAAACCGGAGGAAGGUGGGGAUGACGUCAAAUCAUCAUGCCCCUUAUGACCUGGGCUACACACGUGCUACAAUGGAUGGUACAACGAGUUGCGAACUCGCGAGAGUAAGCUAAUCUCUUAAAGCCAUUCUCAGUUCGGAUUGUAGGCUGCAACUCGCCUACAUGAAGUCGGAAUCGCUAGUAAUCGCGGAUCAGCAUGCCGCGGUGAAUACGUUCCCGGGCCUUGUACACACCGCCCGUCACACCAUGAGAGUUUGUAACACCCAAAGUCGGUGGGGUAACCUUUUAGGAACCAGCCGCCUAAGGUGGGACAGAUGAUUAGGGUGAAGUC
rnacentral:rRNA from 2 species